rnacentral:rRNA from 1 species
UCCAUGAGUAAAGCGGCGUACGGGUGAGUAACACGUGGGUAAUCUACCUUUUAGUGGGGAAUAACCCUGGGAAACCGGGGCUAAUACCGCAUAAUUCUGUAAAGAGAAAGCAGCAAUGCGCUGAAAGAGGAGCCCGCGGCCGAUUAGCUAGUUGGUGAGGUAAUGGCUCACCAAGGCGGUGAUCGGUAGCCGGCCUGAGAGGGCACACGGCCACACUGGCACUGAAACACGGGCCAG